UAUUAAAAAUUUCAUCUAUUUCUACUAUUAAAAAUUGACGUGAUUAACAGAAUAACCAAACCGUUAUACAUGGCGUGUCAUGUGUAUCUCAUUCUAUCUUACAUACAUGGACUGGUUUUUAACAAUAGAAAUGGAUGAAAUUUUUUAUA
rfam:Gossypium raimondii Chr01_contig_25, whole genome shotgun sequence.